AUUGAACGCUGGCGGCAGGCUUAACACAUGCAAGUCGAGCGGAGAUGAGGUGCUUGCACCUUAUCUUAGCGGCGGACGGGUGAGUAAUGCUUAGGAAUCUGCCUAUUAGUGGGGGACAACAUUCAGAAAGGAAUGCUAAUACCGCAUACGCUCUACGGGGGAAAGCAGGGGAUCUUCGGACCUUGCGCUAAUAGCUGAGCCUAAGUCGGAUUAGCUAGUUGGUGGGGUAAAGGCCUACCAAGGCGAAGAUCUGUAGCGGGUCUGAGAGGAUGAUCCGCCACACUGGGACUGAGACACGGCCCAGACUCCUACGGGAGGCAGCAGUGGGGAAUAUUGGACAAUGGGCGGAAGCCUGAUCCAGCCAUGCCGCGUGUGUGAAGAAGGCCUUUUGGUUGUAAAGCACUUUAAGCGAGGAGGAGGCUACCUGGAUUAAUACUCUAGGAUAGUGGACGUUACUCGCAGAAUAAGCACCGGCUAACUCUGUGCCAGCCGCCGCCGUAAAAC
rnacentral:rRNA from 1 species